CAUCACAAGGUAGAGUAAUAAAUUCUUAAACAGGAGGAUAUGUGAGCACUGAGCAAGGGCACCAACUUCUGAAGUGUGUAAAGGAACGCUUCCCUUGGUAAGUGAGUCUAGAUUUACAGAGAGAUCAUGAGCUUCUCUGCAGAGCAGCUACUUAAAUAAAUUAUCCCCUAGGAACCUUUUAAUUAUUUUAUAAUUAUUGAUUGUUUAUUGAUAGAUUAACUAUAGUUUCACAAUGUAAUUGGCUAUUUUAUAAACUAACAGGAUAUUUGAAGAACUUUGUUGUACAACAGAUUGUACAACAAAGGGAGUUGGUUUUUAUUCUGUCUGUUUUGUUUUGAAAAAGGCCAGCUACCUAGUUAACAAGACACUUGAAGUUAAUCUGACUUUUAUUUGUUCAAUUUCCAUAAUGAAACUGACGGUUUGGAGCACAUAUAUAUAUUUCUCUUUUUUUCCUCUUUCAAAUAAACUAGACCUUUUCCAAAGAAUUGUUUGUAUAAUAAGAUGGACUAGAAUGAUUUCUAGAUCACAAAAUCUCAUCUUACAUCUGACUUAAGGGAUUGGGAAGUGUAAGCACAAGAUGCAAUAAUUCCUACUAGAAGCAACAACUCUCAUUUUGGCUUCCUCUCCCCAUUAUGACACCAGCCAAGCCCUUGUAACUGAGUAGGAGAGACCUCACAAGUACUAAGUCGGGGGCGGGGGUGGUGAGAGCUCACCACUGUUAGCAAUGAACCAUAACCAUCUUAGUUCUCCCCCUCUCCCAAGUGCCCCAGCUUAAAGUAGGACUGCAUAUGGCCUUCAGUCCCUCAUGGGCACAGGGAGACCUUGGACUCACCUUCAACUCAGUGAUGUCUCCCCUUAACUCAGUGGAAGCAGGAGUGCAGCUGGAGGAACAUAUCACUGGACACAGAGAGCAGCUCCAAUCAGUAAGCAACAUGGUGGUUGUGUGCAGCUCAGCCAAUAAGAUCCUAAUAUUUUGACUGCUUCAAAAUCCAUAGGUCAUCAUUCUGAACACCAUGUAUUUCACCUCUAUGAGCCUCAUGACUCAGCAGCCCUGGCCAAAAACAUAGUGCUUUCCUCUAGAACCACAGCCUUUGCCCCCUCUCGCAAUCCUGAAUUUGGGGACCGCAGAGAAGCAGAUUAACCUGAUCCAUCUCCUGUCUUACUAGCAUGACAGCAUUUUCUAAAGCCAUGCCUGGUUUCAAUUUAAGGGCCGGGGGAUUUCCCAGAGUAGUCAGGUUGAUGUAAGAAUUUAUCUAGAUUUCUAAAAUUCAGUUUCUCCCUUGCCAAUGGGUCACCUUCGUUAGCACUGCAAACAAUCCAGAGGACUAAGUUAAUAGCUGGCCAUUGAUGGUUUUACAGUGGAAUCUGUCAUUUCUCAGAAAUCUUCCUGAGAGGGUCAAAGUUUCCUUAGAGCCCUAGAACUCACUUCAAAAAUAUCUGAGACAAUUUACUCUAACGGGUGCAUAGAUCUAAGGCUGGCCAACAACUGCAGAGAGGAUGAGCAAUGGCAUACCUGUUGCCAUUCUUCUAUAAAAGGCAGUAAGCCCUCUCUGGUCUUUCAACGGAACUGGCCAAAAUUGUCAUAAUGCACCUGAUUACUGCCCAUAGUGGCUACAAGCUUCUGUCUCUUCUCACUCAGCAUGGGUACUCAUCUGUUUAAUUUUUUCUGAAAUGAGUUAUUACUUUACCUCCUCAUAUCAGUUCCAAGAGUACUAGUUGAAUCUUAGUAAUGCCAUUAAAGCAGGUAAACCUGAGACAACCUGAAAGAUUGGUGAGGAAAUGCUCUGCCCUCAAAGGGAGGCAGAAGAAGCAGGGCAACCUCAGGCAGUUGUCUUUGAGACUACUUCUUAGUAGGUGAGCAGUAACAGUAGGAUAUUUAUGACCUGAUUUACCAUACAUUUUGGUCAAUAUGUUUAUUGCCAAUGUUCACGGAUUUUCCUCAAACUAUAUUAACCAACCCAUGAGGUUCUCACCCAUCCUCUCAGAAGUCCAUGUUCCUCCCCAGCAAUCCCCCAUUCCCCAUCACCAGACCCUUUAAGAAUUGUGAUGAGACAGAGAUUCACCUCUACCUGCUGGCCAGCACAGGAGGUCACUGCAGCUCCAUCCAUGUCCACAGGGGACAAGAGCCUUCUGGGUCAGAGACCAGGGACACUAUUACACAUACCUACAGUCAUAUCCAAAUACUGUGCCAAUUCUCAGAGCUCUAUUUCCCAGAGGGUGUCAGGAAGAGGGCCAGGGACACCUCCACAUACAGUGGGAUAUAUUCCAGAGAAAGAACUUGGAAUCUCUUGUCAGAUGACUGACUGUCCUUUGCUCCAGAAGGAGACACUACCUUCAUUAUACUGGUCAGUAAGCAUGCCCAGCAUUUGACCUCCCAUGGCUGUGUCAUCCUAUCAGUUCAGUGUGGUACUGAGCAGACCCUCCUCUCCUCAAUAAUGGUGUCACCUUACCUAUAUUUCUCAAUGAAGGUAAAUGCCAUGCCUCAAAUGCUCUGUCAAGUUGGCCUUAUUCUUAACUUAUUAACUUUUGCCCUCAUCUCUUGUAACAACCAACUGUAAGGUGAUUUUGUUUCAAAAUAUUUGCCUAACAUGAUAUUAGCAAGUGCUAUAAGAUCCUAUUCCUCUCAAAAAUGUAAAAUGAGAAAUAUGGAAAAAGUUUUGAAUCAACUGGUAGUAGAAAAAGAAGAAAUAAAAUACAAAAAUACAAAAGAUAUACAUACACUAAAGAAACUCAUGAAUGUUUGUGUGUGUGUGUGCUGUCACAGAGAAAGCAAGGAAGAGGGGGAAGGACGGGAAUGGAGGAGGAGAGAGAGGCAAAAAGAGAUAAAAGCCUCCAAUAUAAGGACAAUAGGAAAUGAGAUUCUAGAACUGCGUUGAAUUUUUUUUUGGUUCCUGGUUUUCAUUUACCUUAGAUUCAGUGUUUGGUGACAGAUCAGACUCCCUAAAAUUUUGAUUUUCCUUAUUAUUCUUCAAAUGACUUUCUAGCAUAUGAGAUUAAUUAAUAAGCCACUAUUUUGUAUAGGAAAAAAAGAGUCUAAUAUUGAUGGAUAUCCUGGAAUUACCUUGCUUUGAAUUAUAUUCUAACAAAAGUUGUUUUACUAAAAUAGACUUUACCAGGGUGGGAGUAUUAAAUGGAAGUUGGGCAAGUUUGUUUACACCAUACACUUUAUAUAGCAUACAUAUAAAAAAUUCUCCAUUAAAUAUUAUUUUUUUUUCAAAAUCCCUUGUGUUUGCAUAGCAAGUAUUUUUUUUUCUUCCGGUUUUCUUUCCAAUUUGUAACCUUUCUUGUUUAUUUUUAGUUCUGUCCUAGAUUUUCCACUUAAAUACAUCACGUUCUUUUCUUUGUCAUUUGGACCAUUGAGUUCUUACUCAGUUCCUAAUCCCAAUACUUGGUUAGCAAAAUUCUUAUUAGCCAGACAAAGAUGUCUCUAUAUUCCUUUCAGAAGGCAGAUGAAAAGCCAUUAGUAUUAACAAAUUAACGGCCAUUAGUCGUGUGGUCUUAUAGACAACCAAAGCAUUUUGUCACCAUAUUUCUUCCUAAACCAUACUUUUCUCUCAAACAGGAAUUUUGGAGCAGAGUGCUUUUAAUUCCUUUAUUUAUAAAUAUACAUUCAGUUUUGAAUUUUUAAUGAGAACAUAUCAUAUAGUUUAUUUUGUAAUGAAAAAAAUAAAAUUGUAAAGUCUGCAGGGAGUACUUCAAAAGAAGUCAACUCAAUGUACUGAGUAGAAUGAGAAAAAUAUUCCUCCAUCAGUUUCAUACCUUCAUAACAAGGUAAAAAUGAGUAAGACCGAAUAGGAGACCUUAGGAAAUAUACUAAUGCUGAGACUAUCUUAGAAAGAUAUAUUUGAACUAUGAGAGAAAACAACCAUCUGGUGGGAUUUCUCCCCAGGGAGAAAAGUGUUACUACUGUUAUAAAAUAGUUUAUAGGAAAAAUUGAAUAAUAAGAAAAUGAUUUAUUUCAGUGUUGCCUAGGCUACUUAUGUGUUUCAACUGUCUUAACAACCAAAUAUCAGACAUGAAAAAGGGAGGAAACUUGUCCCUUUGAUUUGGGUGUCUGGAUGGAAAGGAAGAGGAAUGAUUAGCAUUAUUUUCAUAUACUAAUCUCCCUCCCUAAAAUCUACUAUUAAAAAAAUCUUACCAUCUAGGCAAGCAUAUCCUCUUGAACAGACCCUGACCAUUUGUGGUUAUAAUUUUUUAUUCUGUGCCUAAUUCUAGUGAAGCAUACAGGUUACUUAAAACACACACACACACACACACACACACACACGCACACUAGCUCUGUAGAUUACAGUUGCUGCCAAGUUCAAAUCUAAUCUCUGUGUUACUCUGAGAAGGAGUUUUUAGGGUGGAAAUAGGUAUGCAAAAUAAUCAUUGGGUAAAUACCUAUGAAAAGUAAAGGGUAGGGGAUGGAAAGUCAAGGGAAGCCUCAGACUACUUCUCUUUGAAAAGAAAGAGAGAAGGAAGAAGUGGUUAGAAAGCUUCAGACCACAGCACGGUUCCCAGAAAAUUUUUAUCAGAUAUCUGGAAAGUACUUUUGGGAGUAAACUGAGCAGAGGUUGCUGUUGGAUGAGUCCCUUGUUGGGAAGGAGUGGGCCCCACCUACCCUCCUGCUCUGACCCAUCAUCACUGGCUGGGAAGAGACCAGGCUGCAGCUUUAACUGGAGGCCUCCAGAAGCAGGUGGAAGAGAUAAGAGGGGAGCACUUUCAUGUCCACCACAACUUAUGUCAACAGUUCUCUCUAACCUGUUCUGUUUAUCAUAUAAACUAAGACUCCAUUGUGUGAUCUUCUAGCCUCCUCUGCUUCUUGAUUUCCAGGGAUGUCCCUUCCUUGCUUCUGUUUACACUAAAACAAUAUGAAUCUUAGUCCUUAACUUCCCUUUCAGCUAUGAAAAUCAUUCACAUGAAGCAUUUGCGGGUUUCACAGACUUCAUACAGAGCAUUUUAAUAGUCAUAAAGAAGUUUCACUUUUUAUAACAGUGUCUGUGGGACAUCCCCCUGCCCAUCAUAACUUUUCCCUACCUCCCCACUUUUAAUCACCUCCCUCCAGGUUGGGGCUCUACAUUCUCCCACCUCAAGUAUACUAUCUCCUCUCCACGGUACAAACCACAAAAGGACCAAUGGGAGCUCAAAUUCAAUCCAGAGCAAUUAUUAAAUUAUGCUACUCAGGAAACACUUUUUUUUUCCUAAGAGGACCUCUGUAAGAACUGCUAAUAGAAUAUACUAUCACUUUCACCCAGAGCCUUGUAACUUGAGAAUUUUAGUCAUACUCAUCAUUUUCACUCCAUAAACUGGGUUCAAUAGCAUGUCUAAUUCAAACUCUUAUUCAGAGUUUAGAGAGUUUCAGGUAUGAGAUGCAUAUGAAAGCAGAGAUAAGUGUACUUUUCGUUGCUCAUUUUGGCCUUGAAAUAAUUAUUGUACAAAUUAAAUUUUCAUUUCCAAAUCUAAGACCUCUUACUCUAUUCCAAAUAGCAGACAUCUUACUCCCCGAUGUUGAGUAUGUUUUGCUGCUAUUGCUGCCUCAAACAAAUAACACACACAAAAUAAUAAGAACGAGAUUCAACAAUCCUGUUGGUGUGUCAGGGAGGAGAGCAGUAGUCCUCUCCAGCCAUGAGAGAUUUGUAACAACUAAGAGUCCUGAUGGUUGCUUGGCAACCACCAUGCUAUUGAAGCAGUGCACCUGUGGCAUAUUCACGUUUUAAUUGUUCUGUGAUACAGAAAGUCUUUCCUGGACGAAGAUUUAAAAAUCCACAGUUUUUUAAUCUAAGUGAAUUAUUAUACAAAGUCAUAAAAAAAUAAAGCUUCUCACCUUUUCCUAUUGUUCUUCUUGAGUGACAGGGCUGUCGUGCUCCUUCCCUUGGAAAGUCAAAACAAGCAGUGUUAGGGUGAGACUGUGCCAGGCAAAGAAAGAGGCAGUAACAGAUUCCUUAGCUGCUUACUGUUUUCUAAACCAAAUGUUCUUGUUUCUCAGAGGGAAGAGGGGGCAAAGUGCUUGAUGGUGGAUGAGACCUCUCCAGCCAGAAAGAUAUAAGAACCUGGUAGAGUGCUAAACUGUACUCUUACUAUCUCACAGGUCAUAAAAUAGGGAAGACAGAAUACCUUGAAACAUUUUAUUUAAUAAUAU
rnacentral:lncRNA from 1 species